CCUUCGAUAGCUCAGUUGGUAGAGCGGUGGACUGUAGUUGGCCAGACAUGCAAUAGAAAUCCAUAGGUCGCUGGUUCAAAUCCGGCUCGAAGGA
rnacentral:tRNA from 1 species